CUCCUCUCCCAAAGGAACAGAGCUGGCAAAUGGCAGAGCCAAGCUGAGUCUUUUGAAUUCUUUACAGUUCAAUGGGCUUCUUAAUCAAAUAAAGGCAUGCAUGUGGUUUCUUGGUUAAAUCUCCAACUAUGGAGUCAAGUCUGGUGGUACCAACUUUUCAUUCCAGCUACUUGGGAGGCUGAGGCCAGAGAAUCACAAGUUCAAGGUCUGUCUAUGUCAUUGGUGAAUUUAUUCCUGCCUGGGCAACUUUGUGAGAUCCUGUUUCCAAGGAAAAGGUAAAAAUGGAGCUGAGGAUGGAAAGAAGAUUGCCUGCCUUGUGUAAAGCUCUUGGAUCAAGCUCCAUUGCCUCCAAAAACAAACGAAAAUCUCCCAACUAUCUCUAAAGAAAACUUGAAAAUGUUUGGAGGAAUUUAAGAACUGCCAAAAUAAAUAUGUAAUUUCUGGAACACAUAUCAAGGAUAGACUUCAUCUGACGUUUCAGAGUGCCGAAUGUACCAUGGAGAACACUAAGGCAGAAAACUCAUCAGUGGCAUUACCAAACACUGAACUCCACAGAAAAUAAGGAAGAAGAUCGGGGAGAUUGUUCAGCAGUUAAAGUACUUCCAGAGGAUGUGGGUUCAGUUCCCAUCAUCCACCUGGUUUCUUGCUUCCACUCUGCUCUGCUGUGUGCUAGUCACGUCCUGCCGAAUGAUGUCAUCCACUACAAGGCUCUCACCAGUGUUGGCAGUGCAUUUUUGGAUCUUCAGGAUCAUGAGACAAGUAAAUCUUUGUUUUCUCACAUGCUACUGAGUGUUACACAUUCUGCAAGAGCAACACAAAACCAACUGGGCACACUGGCUUUCCUGAAAGUGGGCAGAAUUAUUGCUAUUAUUAAAAUGACACCUUCUGAUUGUUUUAA